AGACGGAACUCUGGAGAGAAACGCGCAAGCGUUCGCCGAAGGGAUAACAAUCUCAGGCAAAGGGACAGAGGGGGCUCA
rfam:Agrobacterium radiobacter K84 chromosome 1, complete sequence.